GCCCUGUUAGCUCAGUUGGUUAGAGCACUGUGCUAAUAACGCAGGGGUCACAGGUUCGAUCCCUGUACGGGGCA
rnacentral:tRNA from 1 species